rnacentral:miRNA from 1 species
AAGAUCUUUUAGAAACACAUC